AAAUAAAUAAAUAAACUCUGAUGCUAGCAGAGUACACACAAGGAAAGUAACUGCACUGGAUCCCAAAGACCCCUUUCUUAAUGUCCAGUGUCCUUUGUCUUAAGAUUUGGUGCAAUAAGU